rnacentral:sRNA from 1 species
CAUUGCCUUGUGCAAUCUAUUAAUGCUCUAACAGCCUGAGAAGAGCGCUUUCGGGUGGCUAUGUAACUAAUGUUCCAGUAGUCUGAGAGGAGCGCUUUCGGGUGACUACACUAUCUGCCAUACCUGAAAAAGCAGACAGUAAAUACUCUGGGUAAACUC